GGCUGGAAUAAGUUUCCCCUGACAUCACCAGAAGUGCUCUUGAUAGGGUUCCUCUUCCUCAAAGACCGUGUGAAUACUUCCAGCAACUACCUCGGCUAAGCUCCAGGCAACGCGCUUGCACCUCCGGCUGCAGAAAGUCAACGAAGCUGUACUGAGGAAUGGAAGACCUGGAUGCAGACCCCUAACACGGGCAAACCUGCUGUGAAAACGGUGCAGAAAAAGCUGCAGACCAGAGCCUUGGCUCCUCAAUAAGGAAAGAUGGUUGACAACACUCAAGCUCGCACUGAUCGGGAUGCACGGGAAUUCAGCGGUCUGUUAAGGUGCAGGUGGGGAAGCCAAGCUGGAUUGGGGAGCUGUUAAUCACCAACAAGCAGAUGUUCUAAAACGACAACUCAGACUCGGGAUUGAAGUUUCUAUGCCCAUCGCACAGCCUACCCGGGGGCCGCAGAGUAAACAGCCACCCCCAGCCUGCAAGCCAAGCCCUUGGAAGUUGGGCAUGUGGCAGCCAACUCGGCACGGAGCGCCCCAACGCCGCCAGGUCUUUGCUCAACUCCCGAGGAAGGAUUUAGGGGCGAUUACCGCGGCGUUGGGCAAGCGGAGGAACGAGAAACUCAAUAUUUGGGAUGCGAGGCUCGGCCGCCGCGGCAGGGCGAGAACAACGUGUUUGUUUUUGUUAGAAGUCCAAACCAGGGGCGUUUUUUAUCGCUGCGAGGAGCGAGCUUACCACCUCAGUGCCCGGGCCAAACUGGUACAAGACAUCGUUCAUCAGCAAUGAAACUCCAGUGUGUUAGAACGCUGAAUAACCUCCACAGUGACUCAGUGGAAAAGCCAUUUCUUGGUGCUUAAAAUAAGCAUAAGAAUGCUUCACCAUCAGUAAGACAUGUUCCAGGCAAACAAACUGCUGCGAGAAUGUCAUGUGCAUGUUGAAGAAUUUAUAAGAGAAAUCAAGGAGACAGACUUCUCUGGUAAGUUACAAGUGCUGGAGUAUCCAGCAGCUGAUCUUUAAAGCGUUCUUGUUUUGUAUUUUAAUUUCAGUGUCAGUUUUCCUCUGGUACCAAUAGCAGGCUGUGUAGGGGAUUAAGCCACUGACAAUAAUAAG
rnacentral:lncRNA from 1 species